rnacentral:rRNA from 1 species
CUACGGGUCGCUGCAGUGGGGAAUAUUGCACAAUGGGCGAAAGCCUGAUGCAGCAACGCCGCGUGGAGGAUGACACAUUUCGGUGCGUAAACUCCUUUUAUAUAAGAAGAUAAUGACGGUAUUAUAUGAAUAAGCACCGGCUAACUCCGUGCCAGCAGCCGCGGUAAUACGGGGGGUGCAAGCGUUACUCGGAAUCACUGGGCGUAAAGAGCAUGUAGGCUGGAUGACAAGUUGGAAGUGAAAUCCUAUGGCUUAACCAUAGAACUGCUUCCAAAACUGUCUUCCUAGAGUAUGGGAGAGGUAGAUGGAAUUUCUGGUGUAGGGGUAAAAUCCGUAGAGAUCAGAAGGAAUACCGAUUGCGAAGGCGAUCUACUGGAACAUUACUGACGCUCAGAUGCGAAAGCGUGGGAAGCAAACAGGAUUAGAUACCCGAGUAGUC